GGCCGAUAUCAGAUUAGGUAGUUGGUGAGGUAAAGGCUCACCAAGCCAACGAUCUGUAGCUGGUCCUGAGAGGACGACCAGCCACACUGGAACUGAGACACGGUCCAGACUCCUACGGGAGGCAGCAGUGGGGAAUUUUGGACAAUGGACGCAAGUCUGAUCCAGCCAUUCCGCGUGCAGGAUGAAGGCCCUCGGGUUGUAAACUGCUUUUGUACGGAACGAAAAGGUUUGUCUUAAUACGAUGAGCUCAUGACGGUACCGUAAGAAUAAGCACCGGCUAACUACGUG
rnacentral:rRNA from 1 species